GUUACAGAUGAAAUUUGAAGGCAGUCUGCUGGAGAAUUCCCUCUUGCUCAGGAGGGCCACUCAUUUUGUUCUAUUCAGGCCUUCAACUGAUUAGAUGAAGCCCACCACAGUAUGGAGAACAAUCUGCUUUGCUAAUUAAAAUUUUCACCUUAUCCAAAAACACUGGCAGAAACAUCCAGAAUAGUGUUGGAUCAAAUAUCUGGGCACCCCAUGAUCUAGUCAAAAAAUAAUCAUCAUAUCUUGCCACCCACAAUCCUCCUUUCAGCAAGGACCAAAUCCUACAAUUGGAGGAAGUAGUCCUUAAACUUCAAGGACUAUUAGGUCCAACUGACAAUGUAGUUUAGUAGCAGAAAUGCAGGUGGGCUUUGACAUCAAAUACACCUGGGUUCACAUCUAUCCACCAGUAUAGUUCAGGAACCUCAAGCAAAUUAUUUGACUUCUGAUAACCUCAGUUUGGUUCUUUGUAGAAUGAAGAUUUCAAUUCCUCUCUCAUAGGUUCAUUAUGAGAAAUCAACUAAAUAAUAUCCCUGAAAGUUCUCAUCAGCACAUGAAUCUUAUCAUAGCAGCAGUCCCAGCUGCAUUGUUUGCUGCUAAUAUUUAGCUGUGUCUGGCUGCAUGGAAGGGUGGAUCGGCCAGGAAGCUGUUUGCUUCAGGAACUGAAAAGUAUCCUAGAAAGGAACUCAUACAGAAUGAGAUGGUCAGACAAGCUUGGCCCAAGAAGAAAAGGCCUUAGUUAUCUGGGGAAGGGCUGGAUUUGACUCUCUGGUGCUACACCCCUCCCCAAGCUCAGACCCUUUCAAAUAUACUCAUCUCUGAGUCCUGGCAAGAAAGAAGACUCUGAACAAAAACAAAGCUAUUUUUCUAAAAACAUCUGGCUCACCCUCUUGUAUUUCUUCCACUCUUCUUUCCACAUAUUCAUCAUCAAUGGUGAGAAUUCUCGCUGGUCCAACUGCCUUGGGAUUCUUUCUUUCCUUGGAUUUUGGGAGGUUUGGCUAAGCUCGACUCCAUCUUGGAUUCUGGAUUCUCUGAGCUGCUUGAAUGAAACAGGGGCCAAUCAAGAUCAAAAAGAAGCCAAUGAAGGCAGCAGGAGGAUUCCAGAGAGCACACAAAGACAUGGGGCAGAAUCAUAGAAGCAGAUGGUGUAUAGUGCAGCUGAGGGUGGAGUGGAUUUUCCCUGAAUGAUAUUUCUGCAACUGGCUCCUCUCAUUCUGUGUCUUCAUCCCCCAUGACUGUUUUUUUUCCUGUGCUGGAUUCUGUAUAAACAGGAGUAGAAAGCAUGAGGAAGCCUCCUACUUCUUAACCACUUGGUACUAGAGGUGAGUACAUCUCUCCUGCUCUCAUUCCACUGGGAGAAGAAAUCACAUUGACAUGAAGCCUGGGAAAUUUGAUCUCUAGCUGGGUAACCAGCUUCUCAUGGCAGCUCUACCCUAUUGAAAGGAGUCAGUCAUUUGUAGUGGAAAAACUACCCAACUCUUUAUGUAAUGAAAACUAUAAGACUUUGCUGAAAUAAAUAGAAGACAUGAACAAAUGGAAAGAUAUCC
rnacentral:lncRNA from 1 species